rnacentral:rRNA from 1 species
UUACCGAGUUUACAACUCCCAAACCCCUGUGAACAUACCAAUUGUUGCCUCGGCGGAUCAGCCCGCUCCCGGUAAAACGGGACGGCCCGCCAGAGGACCCCUAAACUCUGUUUCUAUAUGUAACUUCUGAGUAAAACCAUAAAUAAAUCAAAACUUUCAACAACGGAUCUCUUGGUUCUGGCAUCGAUGAAGAACGCAGCAAAAUGCGAUAAGUAAUGUGAAUUGCAGAAUUCAGUGAAUCAUCGAAUCUUUGAACGCACAUUGCGCCCGCCAGUAUUCUGGCGGGCAUGCCUGUUCGAGCGUCAUUUCAACCCUCAAGCCCCCGGGUUUGGUGUUGGGGAUCGGCGAGCCCUUGCGGCAAGCCGGCCCCGAAAUCUAGUGGCGGUCUCGCUGCAGCUUCCAUUGCGUAGUAGUAAAACCCUCGCAACUGGUACGCGGCGCGGCCAAGCCGUUAAACCCCCAACUUCUGAAUGUUGACCUCGGAUCAGGUAGGAAUACCCGCUGAACUUAAGCAUAUCAAUAAGCGGAGGAAAAGAAACCAACAGGGAUUGCCCUAGUAACGGCGAGUGAAGCGGCAACAGCUCAAAUUUGAAAUCUGGCUCUCGGGCCCGAGUUGUAAUUUGUAGAGGAUACUUUUGAUGCGGUGCCUUCCGAGUUCCCUGGAACGGGACGCCAUAGAGGGUGAGAGCCCCGUCUGGUUGGAUGCCAAAUCUCUGUAAAGUUCCUUCGACGAGUCGAGUAGUUUGGGAAUGCUGCUCUAAAUGGGAGGUAUA